rnacentral:rRNA from 1 species
AUGGUGAAGGGACGCACUGGACAGCGCGUCAGGCUCUACGUCCGGGGCACCAUCCUCGGCUUCAAGAGGUCGAAGUCGAACCAGUACGAGAGCACGUCGCUGGUGCAGGUCGAGGGGGUGAACACCAAGGAGGACGUGGCGUGGUACGCCGGGAAGCGCCUGGCGUACGUGUACAAGGCCAAGACCAAGAGCAACGGCACCCACUACCGCUGCCUCUGGGGCAAGAUCACCCGCCCGCACGGCAACUCCGGCGUCGUCCGCGCCCAGUUCAAGUCCAACCUCCCCGCCGAGUCCAUGGUCAGUGCCCGCCCGCCCUUAGCUUUCGAUGAGCUGCUUGCCUGCUUGAUGGUGCCUUUUGCUGAGGCUGUUUGUUGCUUUUGUUUUGUGUGCAGGGGCGCAAGGUCAGGGUAUUCAUGUACCCGAGCAGCAUCUAAGGUUUUUUCGAUCUAG